AGCAGUAGCCGCGGUAACACGGAGGGGGCUAGCGUUGUUCGGAAUUACUGGGCGUAAAGCGCACGUAGGCGGCUUGGUAAGUUAGAGGUGAAAGCCUGGAGCUCAACUCCAGAAUUGCCUUUAAGACUGCCGAGCUAGCAGGUGAGAGAGGUAAGUGGAAUUCCGAGUGUAGAGGUGAAAUUCGUAGAUAUUCGGAAGAACACCAGUGGCGAAGGCGGCUUACUGGCUCAUACUGGACGCUGAGGUGCGAAAGCGUGGGGAGCAAACAGGAUUAGAUACCCGUGUAGUCCCUGUCUCUUAUAC
rnacentral:rRNA from 1 species